rnacentral:rRNA from 1 species
UACGAAGGGGGCUAGCGUUGCUCGGAAUCACUGGGCGUAAAGGGUGCGUAGGCGGGUCUUUUAAGUCAGGGGUGAAAUCCUGGAGCUCAACUCCAGAACUGCCUUUGAUACUGAAGAUCUUGAGUUCGGGAGAGGUGAGUGGAACUGCGAGUGUAGAGGUGAAAUUCGUAGAUAUUCGCAAGAACACCAGUGGCGAAGGCGGCUCACUGGCCCGAUACUGACGCUGAGGCACGAAGGCGUGGGGAGCAAACAGGG